GGAAACUACGGUGCGGGGGCGCGGUGAUGAGGGUGGGGGUGGGCGUGGACCGGAAGGUCGGGGCUGUAAGGGGUCGUAGGGGGUGUGUGGCGUUGUGCGGGAAAACUCACAACUGAGUGGUGGGCGGGCGGGGGAUACGGGCAGACUGGAGUACUGCAGGGGAGACUGGAAUUCCUGGUGUAGCGGUGGAAUGCGCAGAUAUCAGGAGUAACACCGGUGGCGAAGGCGGGUCUCUGGGCAGUAACUGACGCUGAGGAGCGAAAGCGUGGGGAGCGAACAGGAUUAGAUACCCCUGUAGUC
rnacentral:rRNA from 1 species